rnacentral:rRNA from 1 species
CCUACGGGUGGCAGCAGUGGGGAAUAUUGCACAAUGGAGGGAACUCUGAUGCAGCGACGCCGCGUGAGUGAAGAAGUAAUGCGUUAUGUAAAGCUCUAUCAGCAGGGAAGAAAGUGACGGUACCUGAAAAAGAAGCUCCGGCUAAAUACGUGCCAGCAGCCGCGGUAAUACGUAUGGAGCAAGCGUUAUCCGGAUUUACUGGGGGUAAAGGGAGAGUAGGUGGCAGAGCAAGUCCGAAGUGAAAACCCAAAGCUCAACUAUGGGAAUGCUUUAGAAACUGCUCAGCUAGAGUGCAGGAGAGGCAAGUGGAAUUCUUAGUGUAGCGGUGAAAUGCUUAGAUAUCACGAAGAACUCCGAUUGCGAAGGCAGCUCACUGGACUGCAACUGACACUGAUGCUCGAAAGUGUGGGUAUCAAACAGGAUUAGAUACCCUUGUAGUC